GUUUAUUGUUGGCCAAAACCAGGCUUUGAUUGAACCAGGAUGAAUGCGGGUGUUGGAAGUGGAAUAUAUAUAUACAUAUAAAAUUGGUUGGGAGCCACGUGUACCAGUGUGUGUUGAUCUUGGCUUGAUUCAGUCUGCCUUGUAACAGAAACUGGCGAUGGAAUAUGAGAGGAGCCCUCUGGAAAGAAAAGGACAGACCCUGUGCUUUCAUGAAAGUGAAGAUCUGGCUGAACCAGUUCCACAAGGUUACUGUAUACAUAGCCUGAGUUUAAAAAAGGCUGUGCCCACUUCAAGAAUGUCAUUGUUAGACUUUGGUGAAAUUUCUAACUGCCUACCUGGAUAAAGAAAAUAAAAUCUUUUAAAUCAAAA